CCGAUCUUAGCUCAGUUGGCAGAGCAUCUGACUGUAGAUCAGAUUGUCGCUAGUUCGAAUCUGGCAGAUCGGA
rnacentral:tRNA from 1 species